ensembl:lncRNA
GGCUCUACUUUAAUAUGAGUUAGAGGUUUGAGCUCAAUCAUAAGUGCAGUAAAUGAGGAAACGUGGUUAAAUCAGCAGAGAAAUCUGUUAAUAGUAUCCAUCUUUCCAUCUUUUUCAUUGUCUUGUCUUGUGUUCUCUGCUCAACUUUGGUAUCAUCUCUAUUUUUUCUUCACCCUCUUCCUCCCUGCUUAAUCUCCAUCUCCCUUUAUUACCAACUUUCUCCUUUUCCCUUUUCACACCUAUCUCUGUCUUCCAGGAUCAACCAUAGACGUUUCCUCUACCCGAGAAAAGGCUAACGCCCAGCAGACUGUGGUAGUGUCUGAACCAGAGUCUGUCCCUGCGGAUUCACCUGCUGCACCACCAUGUGACAGCGACUAUCCUGAACCAUCUCAUCCUGCCCCACCUGCUCUGUCUGUCCAAGCAGACUCUGAGAGCAGUGAGUAUGAAGGGACGAUGGACCAGGAUCCUCCUGCUGCUCCGUCACAAGCAGACAGCCCCGACCUCCCCCUCUCUCCUGCCGUCCCGGAGGUCGACCAGAGCUCCUCUGAACCAUCAGGAGGGAAAGAUGGAGACAUGGUGCCAGCUGGGACCAACGAUGGUCCGACAGAUGAAACAGAGUCCUCAGAGCAGCCAUCCUCAGGCUGAAGCUGCUGGGAACCAACACACUCACUUUCUGAGGAGCAUGGAAAAUAAAAGGAAGAGUAGACGGAUGAAGAGCAUCACACUACUCAUCACUGGAGAGCCAUCACACAUCUACGUAAAAAAUAAGAGUUUAAAAAAAAAAAAGGAAAAAAAAAAAAAAAAGACUUAAACCAUCAUGAGGAGGGGAGGGACUGUGCAGCACCGCCAUGUACCGGCCUUGUGUCGCCACUCUGUGUCUGAGCAGUUUUUAAGUCUUUUGGAUCCAUGGGUCUGAUCAGCUGAGGGCAGUCGCCACGUUUGUCUCUCAGUCAGGUAUUAAGAAGUCAGUAGUAAAAUGUCUGUCAGCCACUGGUGCUCAGUACUGAGAUAAUUCGUCCACGAGAGCAGAACAAAUGUAAACACAUGUUGAGGAUAAAGGUUUCACCUCUCAUUUUAGGAUUUUUAAGUUGGCCCCAUUGAGUUGGACCUGGACUUGACUGACCUGAUCCAUGAGAAAGAAACUGGUGGGUUGUAAGUGAAUCCAGUCCUGAUGUUUGCUGAGUCUGUUCAGUCCACACUGCGGGCAGCAGGAUGUAUGGUUCAACUUCACAACAACCUGUAUGUAGAAAACAGUCACUAUGCCAAGUACUAACAGGCCUGAUGUCUGUUUCUAGAAGCUGUGAGCUCACCAGCCGACAGCAGAGCUCUGCAUCAUUUUAGCAACUGUCCCCUUCUGUUUUUAUUAGCGCUCGGGCUCCUCACUGUGUUGUUUAGAGCUGAAAGGUUGUUCUUCUUCAGUGAUUUAAUUGGAUUCAUCUGGUCUUUUAACAGUGGCUGCUUGUUAGCUAUUGAACCUUAGCAUGUGGUGAGCUAAUAAACCUUUGUCCUGACUUGUGCUUCAUUACUACAUUUGUGUAGAAACUUUGCAUUUAUAGCUGCUAUGAAGCGUUAUGUUGAAAGCACUCCACCGAUUUAAUUCAUGUCAUUCUCAUAAGUUUUUUUUUUUUUUUUUUUUUUUUGACUGUGUAUAAAGAUGGAUGACGUGUCAACACUACACUCAAAGGCAUCAGAAAUACAUCACUACUUGUUUUUCUCAUUGUUUUUAUUAAAAAACAACCACGUCAUGAUAAUAUGUAACUAAGUGCAGUUUGGCUCAUUGAUCAUCCAUUUUUUUACACAGUCUGUUUUCUUUAUUCCCUGAGUUCUUCCUUGUCAAAACCUACAUUACCCACAGUGCAACUCAACCACUCACCUGAGAUUGGUUCUGUCCAACUCCACAGAUGUUUGUGUUGUUUUAACCCAACUCCCGUGUUUGACGCUGCUCUGUCUGGAGACAACAAAGGCUGUGUGCAACACCUUUCUCCCAUACGCAGUAACACACUGUGCUGUGGAAAGUCGGUGGAGUUUCCUUUUAACCUGAAUUGCUUUGGCUAAUUAGCAGCUUCCAGACUCCAGUGUUGGAGACUGAUGAUGCUGUUAAUGUGAGACUGUAAUGUUAAUGUGUCUAAAUGAUCAAAGAACAGCACUGAUUAACCUGAUAACACUUAGUGUUUGUCGACUUCAUUUGGUUUUUAAGCUGGACUCAUCACACGACAGGCUCCAGUUGAGCCUUUUCAUGCAACUUUAACAUCUGUGUUGUGAUUGUGGCGGCCAUCCUGUGACCUCAGCUCCAUUUGUCUUUAUCAUGUGCUGGUGGGACUCCACCCUGCACCCUGUGGUGUGGUUUGAUUCUGUGGCUUUUAAUUACUCUGAGAGCUUCACUGUAGCCCAGUCAUGGAGCUAUAGGUUUAUUUUGUGUUUUCGAUCAGGCCCAGCUGUGAUUUGUGUUGUAGAAUAAGUGACUGCAGUGACUCUGUCGGUCAGAUGUGGAUCAGAGUGAGCAACUGGCCCUUUAUGUGAUUUAGCCAUCUCACCUUGAGGCAUCUGGCUUAUGCUCUCACCUGGAUUAACCCGUUGGAUCAGGUGUCUUGCUUUAAGGCAUUUUCACACCUCCUCAUCUCAGAUUCAUCGAACUGCCAAUCAUGUACAUCAUGUCAGCCAAGCUGCAUGUUUUAAUGAUGUGUGUCAUAAUCAGGAGUUCAUAUUCUCAGUUUGACUGUGCUGUUUUUUAGUAAUUCUGAUGGGCUGUGAAUCACUGGAGUCCACUUCUGCAGAGAGGUCUGUUGUAAGAGUCCUGCUCUCAGUGACACACUGCCUCAGAAAUACAGUUUCUUUUUAAAAUCGAGGGUUUUGUUCCAAAAGGGUCUGAUUAUGUAAAAAAAAUAGUAUUUCAUUUUAAAGCCAUGUUUUAGUAUGUUAUUCUUUAAAUGGAGACACAGGUUUGCAUCAAGGUAAACCAACAUUAAUAAAUACUAGAGUGCUGACCUUGGGGCUGCGUUUUAUUUUGGAAUGAAACCUUUCAGUCAUACCUCAGCAGACCAAGGGCUUUAGUUUGGUUUGUUUUUCAGUUCAUGCUUUGUGUUCUGCAAACGGCUCGGCCUGUGAGCCGUGUUCUUUACAGCGGCUCACCUGUGGUGUUUGAAGUCCCGGGGUUAAAUGGGACACUUUAAUGUUCUGUGUUCUCUGCCAGACAAAUAAAAGUGAUGCAUUUGGGGAGAAAGGAGCUGCAAUAUGUACAGUUUUUAAAUGGAACUGAACAUUUCUCAGUCGAGGGUUUGUGUAAAAUGUAGGGACAUUGAGAUGUGUUUGUUUUUUUUCUGAUGUUGGAUGACAGGUUGUGUUUAGAGCAGUAGAUAUUUCAGUGCACAUCCUCGUCCACGGUGUCUUCCUGUUUGAUACAUGAACUCGAUCUGAACUCUUUGCCUUUUCGGAGUGGUGUGUUUUCAUGAGAUUAUCAGGGCUAGCAUGAAUCCAAAAUUGUAGCUUCUAAGCGUUGUCUGAGCCAUCAAUGAAAUCGACGUCUCCAUCAGCUCACACAUCAGAGAGAGAAGCGCCCAGAUGUUUGCACCGCUUUCUAAAGUGUGUACCCACAGGAAAUGCUGCUUCAUGUGUUUUUUCUCAUUUAGCCAAUAAACGUUUUUCUCUGUCUACAGUCAGGUGUGUUUUUUCUUCUUCUGUAGGUGUGAGGCAGAUAAAAAGGUCUCAGAGUGUGUCCCUAUUGGAUUAAAAGGCCUGAUGCUUGUAAAGUCCUGUCAAACUGUAGAUUGAAAUAAUGUCCUGCUCACCAGGCUCAGCCUAAAACCACUGCCUUUACCGCACCGCCCACACCGCCCUGUUGUUGUCUGCUUCUCAUCCUUGGCAUGAUGCAUGAUUGUGACCUUGGCCGCUGUGGGACAGGAGGAGCAUUGGCCCAUCCGUCUUCAUUACCAGAGCGGGAUGAGGGUUGGAGAGCCCCGCACAGAUGAGUCACAAGCUGCAGUCACAGACCGCACUCUGAGCAGUUCAUGGUUUGGUGUCGGGCCCUGUGCAGGAUCUGCAGGAGGAAAUCACAGGCGGUGUAAUUUGUGGAUGAGGACUCAGCCUGCAUCGCUCCCGUUUUCUGCUGCGGGACGUUUCUCUCAAACUAUGACCCAAUCCUUGGGUGUUGCGUACUUUCAGCUCCUCC